rnacentral:rRNA from 1 species
CCCUUAGAUGUCCUGGGCCGCACGCGCGUUACACUGAUGCAUUCAACGAGCUUAUCACCUUGGCCGAGAGGCCUGGGCAAUCUUGUUAACGUGCAUCGUGAUAGGGAUAGAUUAUUGAAAUUAUUAAUCUUGAACGAGGAAUUCCUAGUAAACGCAGAUCAUCAAUCUGCAUUGAUUACGUCCCUGCCCUUUGUACACACCGCCCGUCGCACCUACCGAUUGGAUGGUCCGGUGAAGCCUCGGGAUUGUGGUUCUUGCCGCUUUAUUGUGGCGUGACCGCGAGAACUUGUCUAAACCUUAUCAUCUAGAGGAAGGUGAAGUCGUAACA